rnacentral:tRNA from 1 species
UCCUGGUGGCUCAGUGGUAAAGAAUCUGCCUGCGGUGCAGGAGACCUGGGUUCAAUCCCUGGGUCAGGAA